ensembl:lncRNA
GGGCCUUCGUCUCCUCACCUCAGGUCCUUCGUCUCCUCACCUCAGGGCCUUCGUCUCCUCACCUCAGGGCCUUCGUCUCCUCACCUCAGGUCCUUCGUCUCCUCACCUCCGGGCCUUCGUCUCCUCACCUCAGGUCCCUUCGUCUCCUCACCUCAGGGCCUUCGUCUCCUCACCUCAGGUCCUUCGUCUCCUCACCUCAGGUCCCUUCGUCUCCUCACCUCAGGUCCCUUCGUCUCCUCACCUCAGGGCCUUCGUCUCCUCACCUCAGGUCCUUCGUCUCCUCACCUCAGGUCCCUUCGUCUCCUCACCUCAGGGCCUUCGUCUCCUCACCUCAGGUCCUUCGUCUCCUCACCUCAGGGCCUUCGUCUCCUCACCUCAGGUCCCUUCGUCUCCUCACCUCAGGUCCUUCGUCUCCUCACCUCAGGUCCUUCGUCUCCUCACCUCAGGGCCUUCGUCUCCUCACCUCAGGGCCUUCGUCUCCUCACCUCAGGGCCUUCGUCUCCUCACCUCAGGGCCUUCGUCUCCUCACCUCAGGUCCUUCGUCUCCUCACCUCAGG